rnacentral:misc_RNA from 1 species
GUAGCAAGUCUCGCAGUGUCACGUCCAAUUCUCGCAAUUUACCGCGUGAUCAAAAACAUGUCAGCCACCAUGUGUGCCUUCGUUUUUUGUAAAUAAGGCGUCGGAGUGUCUUCGUUUGUGUAGAUCAGCCUAAAACUACACAAUUAAAUAUUGUUGUCAUACUCGUGAUAUAAUCCUUCAUGGCUCACAUCAGAGAAUUAGAAGGCGUGAUGCACGGACCUCGCAUUCUUAGUGCGGAGGAGCUGAGUGCACACAGGUCUGAACGCCAUCAUAACAGAGUGUUGCCGGACAGAGGUGGUGCAAAAGACUCUUUACCAGAUGACUCGUUGAUGCAUGCACAACGUCUUCAACAGGCACAGACCGAGAUGAAAGUGCUGCUUGAAGAUGAAAGAGUUAACAAAGUGUUAAACCUUUCACAAGGCACAUGGGAUCCAAAAGCACAACUUGUGGAGGUCACUAAAUGCACGGGCAAAUUUAGUAAGCAUUUUGGUCAUGUUGGCAACAAUGGGAAAAUGGUACUUCAGCCAGAAGAAGCUUUGUUUCUAAUUGACACUGGUGACAUGGAGGUAUGCUUCAAUGAUGUGCCAAUGUCUCUCCAAGAAGCAUACUUGCAUAUUCUGCCAACGACUGCAGCACUUAACAGAUAUUUUGUUUAUGGCCAUCUGUCACGGCUAGGGUUCAUUGUCUUACCCCACCAGGGAAAGUCUUCAUUUACUCGUUACGAAAGGCACAUUCGACUUGAUCAGCAUGUCAAGGAGAAAAAGACAACUCGCCCAUUGUGUAUAGAUUGUGAUGGUAAUGAGGCAGCAGACUCCAGUGAACACAGCAUCUCAAGUCAGGCAGAGAAUUUCGAUGUUAAGCAGGUGGAAAUACUCUCGAGUGACGAAAUUAAUAAAAAAAAGCAAAAGCUAACCUCAGUGAGGGCAAACACAGAGGUUUGUCACACGGACACUUUAAGCACGCCCCCUAAGACAUACAUAAAACAAAUUGAGAGCAUCAAAAAGUUUAGUAGCAUCUAUGUACCUGACCUAGGUACUCUAGUAGGGAGUCGCCUUACGAUGCCAAUUCCGGACGUGAACCUUCUGCCAAGGAAUACGCUAGUCACUGCAGAGACCUGCACUCUCAAUAUGGGGCGACUUGAAGUCGAAAGGCAAAAGCGCUUCAGUAGAACUUGUACACGUCACGAUGUACGCAUGCACAGGAACCGAUGCUCACUGUGUUUGUCUGAUGAGAGAUUCAGUACUGCCAGAGGUAAACCAUCACAUCGGAGAGAAGAAAUAAUGGCUCAACCUUCAAAAGAGAUUAGUCAAUGUAACAGGCAACCACCUGUUCUGGUAGGCUGCGAUUUUCGGGAAGAAAAUCAAUCAUGUAUGAACAAGACGUACCAUUUAAGGUAAAAAACAUAGCAGUGGAUUUUGAUGUUUACCUCCCAAGUCAGCGAUUUAAGAAAAGUUCUCCUGGCUUACCAAUCCACAGGAUCUGUGUGAGAAGUCAUGAACAGCCACUACCUAGUCUACUUCAGCUGAGUAGAUUACAGUCAAGCUUAGCAGAUGACGUACCAAUUCAAUGGGCAGUAGUGGAUGGUGGACACGUCUGUUUCUAUAGCUUGCAUGGAAUCAUCGUUCCAUCAUUGGAUGUCAGCAAUUGAAUUCAUGGCUAAAGUAGCACUGCAAGUAUUUUUACAAUAAAUGAAAUAGGACUAUUAAGUAUUAAAAUAAUUAUUUUUAUUCAGGUAGCAUUCGUAGAAUGACAAUAGUAUCCGACAGUAAUGUUGGUUUCAAUCUUGACAGUUUGAUCACUAGUGCUCAUAUUCAGUAUGUACGUUAAA